GCUCCGGCUCGACUCUCCCA
rnacentral:rRNA from 1 species